rnacentral:rRNA from 1 species
GGAAGGAUCAUUGUCGAACCCUGCCCAGCAGAACAACCCGAGAACUAGUUUCAUUGUUGGGGGGCCGAGGGGCCUUGUGGCUCCUCGUCCCCUUAUCUCGGGAGCCGGUCGUCGCCCGUGCUCUCGAGUCCUUCGGGACUCUUGGCGCGUGCSCGGUCGUCCCUCCCGGGCGUACAAACGAACACCGGCGCGUAUUGUGCCAAGGAACUUGAAUGAAAGAGCGCGCCCCCGUCGCCCCGGAAACGGUGUGCGUGCGGCCGGCGUCGUCGUCUUCAAUAUGUCAAAACGACUCUCGGCAACGGAUAUCUCGGCUCUCGCAUCGAUGAAGAACGUAGCGAAAUGCGAUACUUGGUGUGAAUUGCAGAAUCCCGUGAACCAUCGAGUCUUUGAACGCAAGUUGCGCCCGAAGCCUUUAGGCCGAGGGCACGCCUGCCUGGGCGUCACACGUCGUUGCCCCCCUCACAGCUCUCUCGGGAAUGUGCGGGGGACGGAUGAUGGCCUCCCGUGCGCCUCGCCGCGCGGUUGGCAUAAAUACCAAGUCCUCGGCGGCGAACGCCACGACAAUCGGUGGUUGUGAGACCUCUGUGGCCCGUCGUGCGCGGACGUCGCGCUCCGGGGGCUCGUACAGCGCUUUGCUUCGGCGAUGCUUUCAACGCGACCCCAGGUCAGGCGGGGUUACCCGCUGAAUUU